rnacentral:rRNA from 1 species
UACGUAGGGUGCAGGCGUUAAUCGGAAUUACUGGGCGUAAAGCGUGCGCAGGCGGUUUGCUAAGACAGGUGUGAAAUCCCCGGGCUUAACCUGGGAACUGCGCUUGUAACUGGCAAGCUGGAGUGUGGCAGAGGGGGGUGGAAUUCCACGUGUAGCAGUGAAAUGCGUAGAUAUCUGGAGGAACACCGGUGGCGAAGGCGGCAUCCUGGACCAACACUGACGCUGAUGAACGAAAGCCAGGGGAGCAAACGGG